rnacentral:rRNA from 1 species
UACGGAGGGUGCAAGCGUUAUCCGGAUUCACUGGGUUUAAAGGGUGCGUAGGAGGGCAGGUAAGUCAGUGGUGAAAUCUUUGGGCUUAACCCGAAAACUGCCAUUGAUACUAUCUGUCUUGAAUAUGGUGGAGGUGAGCGGAAUAUGUCAUGUAGCGGUGAAAUGCUUAGAUAUGACAUAGAACACCGAUUGCGAAGGCAGCUCGCUACACCUAUAUUGACUCUGAGGCACGAAAGCGUGGGGAUCAAACAGG